GGGUUGUGAGGUUAAGCGACUAAGCGUACACGGUGGAUGCCCUGGCAGUCAGAGGCGAUGAAGGACGUGCUAAUCUGCGAAAAGCGCCGGCGAGGUGAUAUGAACCUUUGACCCGGCGAUGUCCGAAUGGGGAAACCCAGUGCAAUUCGUUGCACUAUCGUUAACUGAAUACAUAGGUUAACGAGGCGAACCGGGGGAACUGAAACAUCUAAGUACCCCGAGGAAAAGAAAUCAACCGAGAUUCCCCCAGUAGCGGCGAGCGAACGGGGAGCAGCCCAGAGUCUGAAUCAGCUUGUGUGUUAGUGGAAGCGUCUGGAAAGUCGCACGGUACAGGGUGACAGUCCCGUACACGAAAAUGCACAGGUUGUGAACUCGAAGAGUAGGGCGGGACACGUGGUAUCCUGUCUGAAUAUGGGGGGACCAUCCUCCAAGGCUAAAUACUCCUGACUGACCGAUAGUGAACCAGUACCGUGAGGGAAAGGCGAAAAGAACCCCGGCGAGGGGAGUGAAAAAGAACCUGAAACCGUGUACGUACAAGCAGUGGGAGCACCUUCGUGGUGUGACUGCGUACCUUUUGUAUAAUGGGUCAGCGACUUAUAUUCUGUAGCAAGGUUAACCGUAUAGGGGAGCCGAAGGGAAACCGAGUCUUAACUGGGCGUUAAGUUGCAGGGUAUAGACCCGAAACCCGGUGAUCUAGCCAUGGGCAGGUUGAAGGUUGGGUAACACUAACUGGAGGACCGAACCGACUAAUGUUGAAAAAUUAGCGGAUGACUUGUGGCUGGGGGUGAAAGGCCAAUCAAACCGGGAGAUAGCUGGUUCUCCCCGAAAGCUAUUUAGGUAGCGCCUCGUGAACUCAUCUUCGGGGGUAGAGCACUGUUUCGGCUAGGGGGCCAUCCCGGCUUACCAACCCGAUGCAAACUACGAAUACCGAAGAAUGUUAUCACGGGAGACACACGGCGGGUGCUAACGUCCGUCGUGAAGAGGGAAACAACCCAGACCGCCAGCUAAGGUCCCAAAGUCAUGGUUAAGUGGGAAACGAUGUGGGAAGGCACAGACAGCCAGGAUGUUGGCUUAGAAGCAGCCAUCAUUUAAAGAAAGCGUAAUAGCUCACUGGUCGAGUCGGCCUGCGCGGAAGAUGUAACGGGGCUAAACCAUGCACCGAAGCUGCGGCAGCGACGCUUAGGCGUUGUUGGGUAGGGGAGCGUUCUGUAAGCCGUUGAAGGUGUCCUGUGAGGGGUGCUGGAGGUAUCAGAAGUGCGAAUGCUGACAUAAGUAACGAUAAAGCGGGUGAAAAGCCCGCUCGCCGGAAGACCAAGGGUUCCUGUCCAACGUUAAUCGGGGCAGGGUGAGUCGACCCCUAAGGCGAGGCCGAAAGGCGUAGUCGAUGGGAAACAGGUUAAUAUUCCUGUACUUGGUGUUACUGCGAAGGGGGGACGGAGAAGGCUAUGUUAGCCGGGCGACGGUUGUCCCGGUUUAAGCAUGUAGGCGGAGGUUCCAGGUAAAUCCGGUACCUUUUAACGCUGAGGUGUGAUGACGAGGCACUACGGUGCUGAAGUAACAAAUGCCCUGCUUCCAGGAAAAGCCUCUAAGCAUCAGGUAACAUCAAAUCGUACCCCAAACCGACACAGGUGGUCAGGUAGAGAAUACCAAGGCGCUUGAGAGAACUCGGGUGAAGGAACUAGGCAAAAUGGUGCCGUAACUUCGGGAGAAGGCACGCUGAUAUGUAGGUGAAGCCCCUGCGGGUGGAGCUGAAAUCAGUCGAAGAUACCAGCUGGCUGCAACUGUUUAUUAAAAACACAGCACUGUGCAAACACGAAAGUGGACGUAUACGGUGUGACGCCUGCCCGGUGCCGGAAGGUUAAUUGAUGGGGUUAGCGGCAACGCGAAGCUCUUGAUCGAAGCCCCGGUAAACGGCGGCCGUAACUAUAACGGUCCUAAGGUAGCGAAAUUCCUUGUCGGGUAAGUUCCGACCUGCACGAAUGGCGUAAUGAUGGCCAGGCUGUCUCCACCCGAGACUCAGUGAAAUUGAACUCGCUGUGAAGAUGCAGUGUACCCGCGGCAAGACGGAAAGACCCCGUGAACCUUUACUAUAGCUUGACACUGAACACUGGUCCUUGAUGUGUAGGAUAGGUGGGAGGCUUUGAAGCGUGGACGCCAGUCUGCGUGGAGCCGACCUUGAAAUACCACCCUUUAAUGGCUGGUGUUCUAACGUAGACCCGUAAUCCGGGUUGCGGACAGUGUCUGGUGGGUAGUUUGACUGGGGCGGUCUCCUCCCAAAGAGUAACGGAGGAGCACGAAGGUUAGCUAAUCCUGGUCGGACAUCAGGAGGUUAGUGCAAUGGCAUAAGCUAGCUUGACUGCGAGAGUGACGGCUCGAGCAGGUGCGAAAGCAGGUCAUAGUGAUCCGGUGGUUCUGAAUGGAAGGGCCAUCGCUCAACGGAUAAAAGGUACUCCGGGGAUAACAGGCUGAUACCGCCCAAGAGUUCAUAUCGACGGCGGUGUUUGGCACCUCGAUGUCGGCUCAUCACAUCCUGGGGCUGAAGUAGGUCCCAAGGGUAUGGCUGUUCGCCAUUUAAAGUGGUACGCGAGCUGGGUUUAGAACGUCGUGAGACAGUUCGGUCCCUAUCUGCCGUGGGCGCUGGAGAAUUGAGGGGGGCUGCUCCUAGUACGAGAGGACCGGAGUGGACGCAUCACUGGUGUUCGGGUUGUCAUGCCAAUGGCACUGCCCGGUAGCUAAAUGCGGAAAAGAUAAGUGCUGAAAGCAUCUAAGCACGAAACUUGCCCCGAGAUGAGUUCUCCCUGACCCUUUAAGGGUCCUGAAGGAACGUUGAAGACUACGACGUUGAUAGGUCGGGUGUGUAAGCGCAGCGAUGCGUUGAGCUAACCGAUACUAAUGAACCGUGAGGCUUAACCUUACAACGCCGAAGCUGUU
rnacentral:rRNA from 1 species